UACAGGGGGUGCAAACGUUGCUCGGAAUUAUUGGGCGUAAAGCGCGCGUAGGCGGCCACUUAAGUCGGAUGUGAAAGCCCUUGGCUCAACUGAGGAAGUGCACCCGAAACUGAAUGGCUUGAGUACUAAAGAGGGUCGCGGAAUUCCCGGUGUAGAGGUGAAAUUCGUAGAUAUCGGGAGGAACACCGGUGGCGAAGGCGGCGACCUGGGUAGAUACUGACGCUGAGGCGCGAAAGCCAGGGGAGCAAACGGG
rnacentral:rRNA from 1 species